rnacentral:rRNA from 1 species
UACGUAGGGUGCGAGCGUUAAUCGGAAUUACUGGGCGUAAAGCGUGCGCAGGCGGUUUUGUAAACCAGAUGUGAAAUCCCCGGGCUUAACCUGGGAAUGGCAUUUGGGACUGCAAGGCUGGAGUGUGGCAGAGGAGACUGGAAUUCCUGGUGUAGCAGUGAAAUGCGUAGAUAUCAGGAGGAAUACCGAUGGCGAAGGCAGGUCUCUGGGCUGACACUGACGCUCAUGCACGAAAGCGUGGGGAGCAAACAGG